rnacentral:rRNA from 1 species
GGUUACCUUGUUACGACUUCACCCCAGUCAUGAAACACAAAGUGGUAAUCGUCCUCCCGAAGGUUAGACUAACUACUUCUUUUGCAUCCCACUCCCAUGGUGUGACGGGCGGUGUGUACAAGGCCCGGGAACGUAUUCACCGCAGUAUUCUGACCUGCGAUUACUAGCGAUUCCGACUUCAUGGAGUCGAGUUGCACACUCCAAUCCGGACUACUACAUUCUUUAAGGGGUCCGCUCCACAUCAUGUCUCGCUUCCCUCUGUUAAAUGCCAUUGUAACAC